CUCUGUAACUUGUCUUCUUCGAGACCAAAUCGCUGAAAUCCAGCGAAACCAGACGAGAACAGUCGCUCAGACCAGAAAUCCCGCAGCUAAUCACGACCUCGAGCCUAACGCCUCCCUCUCCAUUAUCAAUCCGUUGAAGAUUGUUGAGAUGGGACAAUUGACAACUUUCAACUUAAGGGGAAGGUGAUUUUCAAAUUUCAAAAUCCACCCGUUUUCCCCCUAAUCGAUUCCAUUCUUUUCCUAUAUAUACUCUCCUUCCAUUAACGUCAAAAAGGGGGGAUUUUUUGAGCGAAAACACUGAGAGUAGCCUUAAGUAAAAGUAGCUAAAUAUAUAGAAAUACAUUGAAGGCAGAGAAAAUUUAGUUUCGAUCUGAGUAUCACGUUUCCAUCUCGUUUUGCCAUCGAUUCCCUCAAGUUUCGUUUGAGAAUCGAGAUUUUGCUCAGUUUUCUUGUUGUUGUUUGUAUUUGAGUUUUGUGGUAGGAAGAUUGUGGCUCUGCUCGCGCUGUCUCUAGUUCGCUGCCCUCGAAAAGGUAACCCUAUUUUGACCUUAACUCGUUUUAGCUGGUGUUUUAUUUCUAAUUAAAAGUUUACUGUUGAACUCUUGAGGCAAAUUUAUACUUUGGGGUGAUUGAUCAACAUUAUGUGUCCACUUGCUUGAGCAUUCUGAUGGAAAAUGGUAUUGAUCGAGUGCAUUAUAAUUCUUGUUCAUAUUGUUGACGAUUUGAGUUAUGUAAAACUAGUUAUUCAGUGGAAAUUUUUUGACAUAAUGGGGGGCUCAUUUCUAUUUGUUUUAUUGGUCUAGAUUCAUACCCAAAUCUUCUUUGAUGUGUUUUGGUGUUACUUUACCAAUUGAAGGCGUUUGAACCUUACAGUGAUGUCUUGAUGUCUUUCCCAUGUAGGAUAUUUUUCUCUAAUCUCGUAUCUUGUUUUCCCACUCUAGAAUGAUAUUACUGUAAGCUAGAAUGCUUUAGAAUGAUAGCUUCUCUUUUGGUCAAAAUUACAAAGUUACCUUCUCCGCAAAGUUCCAUUUCUUAGGUCUAGUUUUUUUAAAUUGAGCAUGCUGCAAUCAGCUCCUCUUUACUGCAUUUCCAGCAUCUAUUUUCGUCUAUUCGGUUUAUUCUCUCCUUGUAUUAGUUGUAGUUCUUUAUUUUCUUUAAAAAUGUUCCUGUGGGCUGUUGUUGUUAAUUCUUGCUGUGACGUGAAGUUAGACCAGCGAUAUUAAGUUGUAGAGGAUAAUAUUUUGCUCUUGAUUCAUACUCAGUCAAAGUCUCUUUGUUUAGUUCGGGUGAUUCUCUAUGUAGCGAUUUGUGAUAUCUAGUUUGAUACCAACACUUCAGAAAUCUAUCAUUUCAUGUUUUAGUUUAGAUUUCCUUGUCUAUUAUAGUGUAAGAAAUGUUCUAUUUAUAUAGAUACUUACUAAUAUAUUUGUUGCUCAGUAAUUGCCGUAACUCAUAUAUAACAAUAGUAUUUCUUCAGCUUUCGCGUAUCUGUUUUAUAAUUGAUAGAUAGUAUUCUGCUUGCUUCAUUUCUUGCUAAUAAGUCACUAAGGUUAAUAUGCUUUUCUAAAUUAACAUUACUUGUUAGAUUCCUGUUAAAUGUUGGUGCUUAAGUCAAGACGUCAAACCUUGUUUAGUUUUGUUUGGUGAAUAUUUUCUUUAAAAAAUGGAAUCAUAAGUGCAUUUGCUGAUAUAAUACUCCAGUAGGUAUAUGCUUUUAAAUUUAGUGGUUUGAGCAAAUCAUUGAUUAAGGUUGAGUGGAUAUAUGCUAUUUUAUAUAGUUUUCCUUAUGUUGCUUUUGAUUUGAUUUUUUUUUCCACUCAUGUAUUCAUGAUUUAUACAUUGUUCUCUACCAAUUAAGCAUCUUUUUUUUUAUGCAAUUUUGAGCUGAUGUUAAUUCAUUACUCCUUUCUUUGUAUGCAUGAUACUUGAGUCCAUUCAUGGACUCUCCUACUUGCAUUAUGUUGAGCUAAUCAGCCCAACCUCCUACUCGAGUCGGCCUUCUUCCCUGUUUGAAUUUCGGAAGCUGAAACAGUUGAGAAAGGAGUUGCAUUACAGGUUCUUAAGGCUGAAAACAGGCAGAAAUACAUCAUGUAUUCACUGAUAUACGUAUCAGUGCAACAAAUACGUGACUAAAAAUGGAAAUACAGGUAAAAAAUGUGGGAAUACAUGGCUGAGGUAAAAUACAGGGGUUUGGAAGCAGGAGAUACACGGAAAGAGCUGAUAUACAUGCCGAUAUACACUGAUAUACAUCAGCUGUAUACCCAAAACGGGUUUUGGUUAAACCCCAAAAAUACCAACGAAAUUGGCCCAAAAGGGGGCCCGAAUUCAACUUCUCUCCGUUAUUCUUAAAUUAUUUAAUUAUAAUUAUUUAUUGUUUGUUGUUAUUAACUCUAACUUUAGAAUUGUUAAUUAACUUAAUCGAAUUCCCUAAAAGGCGAACUAUUUCUCUG